rnacentral:rRNA from 1 species
UUCCUUGGAAAAGGACAGCUGAGAGGGUGAAACUCCCGUCCGCCUGGUAGAAUGAGUCUUUGUCAACGAGUCGAGUUGUUUGGGAUUGCAGCUCUAAUUUGGUGGUAAAUUCCAUCUAAAGCUAAAUAUUGGUGGGAGACCGAUAGCGUACAAGUACCGUGAGGGAAAGAUGCAAAGAACUUUGAAAAGAGAGUUAAAGAGUACCUGAAAUUGCUGAAACGGAAGCGAAGGAAACCAGUGCUUGUUGGUUCAUAUUUCCUUGGCCACUUGUGGUUUGGGCG